GAGCACCUGCUCCAUUCCCGGUGACAGCGGGGCUCGUGGCGGUCCAGACGAGGGAGCUCCAUGGGUGCAGCGAGAUUCCGUUCUGUUCCUUACAUAGAGAAAGGACGCAGAGACAAGGGGAUCAUCCUGGAGGUCGCCGGUGGCCGGCCGGAGCAGGGUCAUGGCGGACAUGGAGGAGCACGGGGCGAGGCUGCGGUUGACCUGCUGUUGGUCGGAGGCGACAAGGUUUAGCAACUCGAAGUACUCCCAUGGCUGGCUCCAUUGUUGUGGCAUACGGUUCUGAAUUCCUGAAUCAAAACACAUGAGAGAGGGAUGAGAUGAGGGAGAGAGCAGGUGGAGAGGGAAACGAGGGGAAGGGGAUCGAAGGAACGCGGGGUCCUGG
rnacentral:lncRNA from 1 species